rnacentral:sRNA from 1 species
GAUUCCAGGUUUCAAAGGUCUGACCCCACAUGAACUUGCUCAUAAGUGGGCAAAAGACCUUGGAAACCGCCCUUAUAUGAGCAUAAAAGUGGGAUGAAUAUCCCACGAUAUGCGAAUAUAGGGCCGGAUUGUGAAAGUGCGAGCACGGAACAAUCCGGUG